rnacentral:rRNA from 1 species
UACGUAGGGGGCAAGCGUUGUCCGGAUUUAUUGGGCGUAAAGAGCGUGUAGGCGGCCAUGUAGGUCCGGUGUGAAAACUCGAGGCUUAACCUCGAGAUGUCAUCGGAAACCAUUUGGCUAGAGUCCGGAAGAGGAGACUGGAAUUCCUGGUGUAGUGGUGAAAUGCGCAGAUAUCAGGAGGAACACCGGUGGCGAAGGCGGGUCUCUGGGCAACAACUGACGCUGAGGAGCGAAAGCGUGGGGAGCGAACAGG